UACAGAGGUCCCAAGCGUUGUUCGGAUUCACUGGGCUUAAAGCGUGUGUAGGCGGGCCGUUAAGUGUCUUGUGAAAUCCCCCGGCUCAACCGGGGAAUUGCUGGGCAUACUGGCGGUCUUGAGCGAUCUAGGGGCAGAUGGAACAAGUGGUGGAGCGGUGAAAUGCGUAGAUAUCACUUGGAACGCCAAAGGUGAAGACAGUCUGCUGGGGAUCUGCUGACGCUGAGACACGAAAGCCAGGGGAGCGAACGGG
rnacentral:rRNA from 1 species